CACGUAGGGCGCGAGCGUUGUCCGGAAUUAUUGGGCGUAAAGAGCUCGUAGGCGGCCUGUUGCGUCCGCUGUGAAAGCCCGGGGCUUAACCCCGGGUCGGCAGUGGAUACGGGCAGGCUAGAGGUAGGUAGGGGAGAAUGGAAUUCCCGGUGUAGCGGUGAAAUGCGCAGAUAUCGGGAAGAACACCCGUGGCGAAGGCGGCUCUCUGGAACGCAACUGACGCUGAGACGCGAAAGCGUGGGGAGCAAACAGG
rnacentral:rRNA from 1 species